AUUGAACGCUGGCGGCAGGCUUAACACAUGCAAGUCGAGCUAGCGGCGGACGGGUGAGUAAUGUCUGGGAAACUGCCUGAUGGAGGGGGAUAACUACUGGAAACGGUAGCUACUACCGAAUACCAUCAGAUGUGCCCAGAUGGGAUUGGCUAGGAGGUGGGGUAAUGGCUCACCUAGGCGACGAUCCCUAGCUGGUCUGAGAGGAUGACCAGCCACACUGUACCUGAGACACGGUCCAGAAUCCUACGGGAGGCAGCAGUGGGGGAUAGUGCACAAUGGGCGCAAGCCUGAUGCAGCCAUGCCGCGUGUGUGAAGAAGGCCUUCGGGUUGUAAAGCACUUUCAGCGAGGAGGAGUUACUCGCAGAAGAAGCACCGGGUAACUCCGUGCCAGCAGCCGCGGUAAUUG
rnacentral:rRNA from 1 species